GGUUCUAUGGUGUAAUAGUUAGUACUCUGGACUUUGGAUCCACUCGUCUGAGUUCAAAUCUCAAUAGAACCU
rnacentral:tRNA from 1 species